AGACAAGAAAAAGGAUUUCCAAAAUCCAAUUCACUGUGGUGGGAAAAAGGAACAAAACCAUAUUCACUGUGCCUUCUGGUUCUGCAUUUUUCAUCAAAAUCAAGUCACCUUGAUGCUAAGUUUCCCCUUCUUGUGGAUGGAUUUGCUGGAGAUGAUGCUCAUGGGUUCUCUUCCACAGUAAUGUUGGCUGGCCUAGGCAUGCUGUUUUGUGGUGAAUAUUGGUGAUAACACCCAGUCCAAGAGAGGCAUUCUCAUAUUGAAUUUGUUAUCAGUAUGGGUUACUGGCAAUUUGGAUAAUAUGAGAAGGAUCUGAUACCAUCCUUUCUACAAUGAGCUUGGUGUGACUCCUGAAGUGAAGAUGACACAAAUUAUGUUUGCAACCUUUAAUUGUGCCUACCAUGUAUGUUGCCAUCCAAGGGGUACUCUUUCACUAUGCCAGUGGCCAUAUCACAGGCAGAAAUAUAAAUAUUUGUGACGUAGUCAAUUGAUUUGAAUUUUCUUUACUAUUGAUGAGUCUGUUAUGGGAAAGCAAAAUUGAAGCA